AUCAUAGCACAUGAGGAUUGAAUAAACACAGCAGGAUGUCAAUCCCAGGACGGCAGACUACACAGAUCAGUGUAUUGGGAAAAACAAUAAAAAGAACAGGGACUCUUCAAAUGAUCCAAAUACUAUUGUUCAACAACCAUCUGGACAAGAUAAACAACCAGCCUCUCAGGAGUCUUUUUUAGAGGCAAUAGGACUGACAAAAGAAUCCGGCGGGGGGGGCGCAAACAUGGACGCAGGCGUAAAAACACGACAUCUGAACAAGUCGACAACAUCUCCGAAACGGAACGACCGUACCAAGAAAAUCAAGAAGUAACUACAGCACGAACUGUGAUUAUCAUGAAUCUACGCUGUACCUGCCACCAACAGAACUGCCUGAAUACCGUGUAUACACUUGAUGUGAAGAGCCAUUUUCAUUUUUAUUUCCACUACUACAUCAAUAGGUCUGAAUUGUUCCAAGGGCGCAGAAUAAGUGGAGGACUAUGACGGAGGGUGAUUGGCAUAUCUGGAGAUGUGCUUGCCUGCCGGCAUCCACGACUCCGGUGACUCCCCGCCCCGGGCGAGUGGCGUUCAUUCAUCACACGCACCGGAGUGAGCACCAUUACUCCGUCUCUGUUACCUCUUUGAGCCAUGCCAGCUCUACUUGCUAUAUCCCUGUAAGCUGAACGAGGGACCAUUGACAUUACCACUCAUUAAAAUGCUUAAGAUUCAUGGAGUAUGGGCAAGUUUUUCCCAUA